CUUCCUCGUCGGAGAAAUCCGCGGAGGACGACAUGGAGCAUCGAAGUUUCCUGCUCACUUAGGUGGUGAGCUUCCACUAUAGGUUGUGUUUCCUCAAGGCGAGGUGCUACACGUCUUCUAGCAUGACGAGGACUUGAUCUAAAGCCCUAUAACAGAAAAAGUGAUCAUUGUGUUUGACAUCUCCCAGAAUGGAGCCAUGUAACAACAGAAAAAUCAUACAGGAACUUAACAACGACUUCAGCAAAAUAUCCCUGCUGAAGUCCUUCUGUGACAAACUCAACACUCAGAUAUAGCUGGUCCCUAUAAAGAAUCAAACUUCUGCAAGAAACACUGUGGGAUUCCUCUGACCAAAGCUCAGCAGAACUCCCUUCCCUUUCGAGCCACUGAAGUCAGCAGGUCAGAGGAAAAGUCCUUUAACAGCUCCUAUUUCUCUCCAUUGGCCACAAAGGGAGCCCAAACUGACUACUUCAGUCAUAGACAUCUAUAUGCUGAAGUUUACUCCUAUGAAGAUCUGAAUCAAGAUUUAAAACAUCAAAUGUAAGAUUUUACAUUCAAUUUCUCAUUCCACUCCCUCAUUAACAAGCUUUCACUGACACUUCUUUGCAUGCCUUAUGUUUAUUUUAGGAGAUAUUAUUCUUAUCUUCAAAAACCUAAACUCUAAGCAGUGCUGGAACCAUUUCUCAGAUAUUGAAGACUGUGAUUUGGCAUGUGUCAUAUUCCAAGAUAAAUCCACGCAUUCAAAGGGAUUAAAAGCAAUUGUCUUUUACAUCAUCCGAACAAGAUUACUUUUCCAUCUGAGUUCAUGAAAUACAUCAAUAACCUGCUUUCCCAUUCUUAAGCAGGCCCCCAAGUGUAUACAUAUGAGCCCUUGUGUGAACCUAGGGUUUAGAUGUGAAUUUAGAAUACAGUUUUUAAUAACCCAUGUUGCAUUACACUGCUGUUUUUCAGAUUGUUUGUUUUUACCUCUCAUAAGGUUAGGAUUCCUAUCAAAGCACGUAAGCUGUAACACUAAGAAAAUCUGAUGAGGUAUAAGAAAAUAGCCAAAAAGCAUACCCAGUCAUGCCUCAGGAUACCCUUUAAAUACUCUUUCCUGCCUUAAUCUAUAAACCACAGAAGUUGGCCUGUUCUCCAAGCAGUCCUGUCAUCCUCUGACAAGGCUUGCAGCCCUCCACGGCUGCCCUGCCUUUGUGAUGGCUUGUCCCAGUUCCUUCCCUGUUACCUCAGGGCACCGCCAGCCUACAGUAGGAAUGGAACAAUUAUUUAAGAACAAAAAUAAAUCAGGGUAUUGAUUGAUCAGUGGUCUGCAAGGGAAAGUUUAAUUUAGAAUAUACUAGCAGAUUUCCCAAGCAUGUCCCCCUUCCACCUCUGCUUCCAUCUCAGUACUUCUCCUCAGCUUGGGCAGUGAACAGUAUACAUCAAGAAUCUGCCAUAAGGAAUUACCUUUAAAUAUUAAAAAUACAGUAAGAAGGAGAAUAAGAAAUAACACACAGAUUGCUAAACCAUACAAGUGCUGCCCAACAUCUAAUAUAAAGAAAUUACUCUCCUGUUCAGUGCGUUUGUUUGAAGUGUAAACUGGUAAGAGAAUUUAUGGCACCACAGCAUGUGAAGAUGGGUCUUCACUUCAUCAAGCAUAAAAUAGAUGUAUAACUGACGGAAGACUUAGCAGGCACGUACAAAAAAAAUACCUAUGAUGGAAUUCAGAUAUCUAUUAAGAUACCUAGAUUCAGAUACCAACAACAUAUCUGAACAGGUGUCUCCUUUAGGAGCAACUAGUCUAGCCUCCUGUUAUAGCCACUGCAGAAUUUAGCUGAUACAUUCGGUGAGGCCUGAAGAGCUGUUCAGCUCAUCCUGAAGCAGACACCUACACUAGGUCAGCUGAGUAGCUCUACAGACUAUAAACUGUAAAUGCCUACAGUGAGCUUAUCGUGCUGUAUAAGAGGAUGCUGCUAUUGCAAAGUCACUUUCCAACUCUGGCUGCACUUUACACACAGGAAGGUAACGGCAGCAGAUCAGAAGGGAACGAUGCCUCUACCUAGUUGUAUAGUUGUAUGUAGUUCUCACUAGAUCAAAGGAGGAUAAAUAUAAUACCUCAGCCUGACAUGGUUAUGUAUUUCAGUAUAGUUAGUGCUAUCAAUUUAGAUAAUCAUAAAUUAAGUCUUGUAAGAACAGUGUUUCACUUCUAGUCUGCUCUACUAUUUACCCUGCCAUCCUGAAGCACAGUGCUGUAUUUAAGCAGCUGAGUGGACAGGGGUGAUAAGGACAUUGGCACAACUUGCCAGAUACGUGUCUUUGCCCAAGUGUCAAGUGCAGUUAGUUUCUAUAGCUGAUGUAGUGCUUUCACGCUUCAGCCGUAACUCACGUUUCAUGCCUGCUGAUGAGUCAGGAACAGCAACCACUGACUCUCCAUGAUGCAAGGCUGUAGGGCACAAGGGAGCCCAGCAGGGGCUCAGACACUUUGGAUGGCAGAAGUACUCAGACAACAGGUACCCAGGUUUGCAGGUGAACUAGCCGCACAAGAAAUCGGGUCAAAACCAAUCAUAGAAUAUCAGGUUGGAAGAGACCUCGAGGAUCAUCUGGUCUAACCUCUCUUGGCAAAAGCUCAGUCUAGAUAAGAUAGCCCAGCAUCCUGUUCAGCUGAAUCUUAAAAGUGUCCAAGCCAGCUUUGCUAGCACUAGGUUGAGAUCAGCCAUAUCAGCUGUGGGCCUGGCGACCUGCUCAAGCAUCUCUGCCGCGCAGUGCUGAGUCCUUGCCCAGGGGAGCUGGAGGAGCCCACACGCACCCUCCUCGGAGCCUGAGACCCCUCCAGGCCGCAGAGCACAGUGGGCAGGCUGAGAGGCCGUGGCUUGGGAUGGCACCUGCUCACGUUUGACACAGCCAGGCCCAACAAGCCCAGCUCAGCUGAAUUGGAUCCUGCAUGAAAACAGCAAGGUGACUUCACCCUGUGCUCUCCGUGGUUCUUCCAUAGCACAUCAAAGGUGUCUCUAAAGGUGUCUCUCCUUAAAAAAUCCUGGGAAUGGAAUAAAGUGCGAGGGACGUUUCCAUGCCCUAGGAAAACACAUGUAACAGCCCAGGAGGUGAAAUAGCCCCGAGGGUCAUACUACUCUGUUCAUGCGAUGCUUGCUUUCUUUUAAUAUCCUCAGCCUGAAGUGCUGAGCUGUUUCUGCAGGAACACCCACAACCUGAUCUGUCACCCUAAUAAUCUAACCACAGUAACUGAGGAAUCAGUGUAGAUGGCUAAGCUUUUCUGAGCUGUAUGUGAUCUAUGGACCCCUGCAUGAUCCUUUCUGUCUGUAUAAGAACAGUUUCUACAGCAGAUGUGGUAAUACAUGUGCUCACCACAAGUAUGACCUCAGCUAUUUUAAUUCACAGUUUCAAUCUAAGGUUAAUUUGAGUCAAAAAACAGUAGCUAGAAGUUCCCAGUCUGUACAUGUGUAUGAUGUGACUGCUAACAGACGGACGGCGACAAGCCGUGCUCCACCUGGAUCCCCUUGAAACCAGGGCUCUGCUUGCUUGCAGAGCAAGCAGCUGGUUGUGCGCACCAGGAAUGUGCACUGUAACUGGCAUACAACACAACUGAAGCUGCAGCCUUAUCUAAAACACGCAUUUCCAGAGAUAACAGAAGAUCCUGAGAAGCCUGAAUAUGUAAAUACUUGUAUGAUAGCUAGGAGGCUGUAGAUAUAACCUUAUUAAUGGGAAACUAAAUACAACAAAGAAGUUUUAUUAUGUACAAGUUCCUUCUGCAGCGGUUGUCCCUAUCCUGUUAGAGGACUGCAAGGAUGUGUUCAUUUAUAAUGCAGGUCCCAAUACGCAGUGUAUCGAGACCAUGCCUUACCACUGAUGUGGACAGUGACACAGUGUCAGUACUUUACUGGCUGAUUGAAUGAGCUGAGAGGAGAUCCCUUCAGCAUUUCAGUGCUCUGCAGGCUGUUGGAAGGCAGAAUAGAGAUGCAGGCAACCAGAUGGCUAUAGAAAAGUAUUGGGCAUUUCUACACCGCACUGUAGUACAGAAUAAAGGUACCCAAGUUAACUCCUCUGGAGUUAGCUCAGGAACCCAAGUGAUCUUGCUGCUGCAACUGGGGAAUUGCCAUAUAUUUUGAAAUACAAUUGCCAAACAGGCUGUUUCUCAGCACAGGCCAAUUCUUGCUAGGCUAUCUAAAGGCAGCACUGCAGUGAAUAAAGCUGACAAACAGUGAUGGACAGAUGAUGUAUAGUAAGCAGAAUCUCACUGGUACCUAGUUUGCCAAGUAACAGCUCAGUGCGACAUACUCUGUCUGGGCCACAUUAUUGGACAUGAUAUGAAAAAUGGAUAGAAGGAUUUGUCCUUAUACAGUGUAACCUGUACUUAUAGCUCUCCAUUCAUUCCUGUAUGUAAGUGCUUUCAUACAUCUAAGAAAACAAUUUAUUUUUGUCUCUGAUUUGUUUUCCCUUGAACCUGUUCCUUAACUCUUAGACAGCUAAUGGAAAAACAGUUUAAACAUCCUGGGGGAAAAGCAUGUCAAACACAAAGGUAGAAUAUUUUCAGGCUGAUUCAGCUCCUCAAAGACAAAGAAACAUCCUCUGAAUAGGUGAAUGAAUGUAUUUUUUCUGGCUAGUCCUGUACAUUUCUGUUGCUCCUUGAAUGCACUCUCUCAAAUCAAACAGAAGACUCAAAUUCAGCUUGGAGGGUCUGCUGAUUUUUCUUUUCACUGGAGCUGUUUAUAAAUAACUGCAAUGCUCAGGAUGAAUUACAGUACAACUCUUCAAAGACUCUUCAUUAUGAUUUUGUAAGAUAUCUAGAACUGUUUUUAGGCAACUGUCUCACAGUCAGCCUCAGAAGGGGGAUGAUUAUGGCGAAGGUAUGCUUAGGGAUAAAUUUAAUUUAUGAACACUUUUUCUGGGCAUCAGUUGUUGGCAAAGCCAAUAUAUACAUUUACUGGAGAUUGUUGUACUAUAGUUUUACAUCCAUUUCAUCAUAAUGGAUGAUUUAGCAAACUCAUUUGCUCUUAAAAACUGUCAUCAGUCUUGGCUGACCUAUUUCACUACCAGUCUUGUCACAACAAUAGACUGAAUAUGUAUAACCCUGUAGUGAUUGUUCAGUAUUCUAAGAAGAAAAUGUGGGGUCUACAAAACUCAAAUGACCAAAUAUUGUUCCUUUGCUACAGCUGUGGUUAAUAUGUGCUGCCAGCCCUCCCAGAGGGUCUUUUCAUAAAGUGUCAACUCCUGUUUGCCAUACUGGCAUGUCUAGUCCCACCAGGCAUGCACCUGGGUUAUGUGAAGUCAGCAUUUACAGUAGACUGUAAAAUUUCUAUGGAUUUUCUUCCUAGUAAGUUUAUACCUGUAGGUCUCAGUGGAAGCAUUCACAGGAAAUUUGCCUAAAACAUAUAAGUCAAAAUUACAUAGAUACAAAAAGAUACCGUAGUGCUUGUGACUACCCACUGACACUGAUACCUUCAGUUCCUGAGAUCAUAGUAUUUCUAAUUUAAAAGGUAAGAUAAAGGAGAACUGUAAAGCUCAGAGAAAAUUUCAGGCAAAAUAUUUAUAUAUCUGGUGAAUUUUUUUCCCCAAUACUAUGAAAACCAUCAACUACUGUUUUAGCAGUGAGCACAAUUAUUCCUUCACAAUCUCAUAAAAAACAACCAUUUAAAGAUCCUGAAUGAGAGCCUUCUUUUUCAACAGUUCUUACCCCGAAUAAAAAUAUUUUAAGAAUUUUACCAUUUGGAUUAAUUCCUUCCAGUCUAAGGCCUAGCAGCUUACUUCCUUUUUAAUUGAAAGGUGAAAAUCUGACAUAAUUUCAUGACUUCAUAAGGUUUGAGAAUAAGGAAAACUAAUUCAGAAAGAAAUCUAAAUCACAAAAAGUGGCAACACCAGCACAUUAAGCAAUGCCUCUAAACUGUAAAAUACAGGAGACAUUCAAACCUCUUUGUAAAGUGUAAGAUGCUAAACAUUGGAAUGUAUCAAGCCCAAGCCCCCAAAGUACUCAGAGAAAAUUCCUGUACUUCAUGAAAAAACACCAAACUUCUACAGAGAGCACGAGAAGAAUUAAGUCCGUGAAUCUCUGAUAACAUUCACAAUUUUGACUAUACAAGGAAUAAUAAUAAUGGUAAUGAUAAAACCAACAAUGGAUCAUAGUCCCUAUUUUGGUAAAACUCUCACUGAGUUAUAUAGUUACUUUGCUGUGGUUUUGGUUGAGCACAGACAUCAUUCUACAACUGAUUCUCAAAAUAAAGAAAGGAGAGACUACUGCAAAUAGCUACAUCAAAGUCUGAUUUGUCAUGUAAGCAAUGAAUAUUUCCGUUGGAAAUUUACUUGUUUUCUUUUUACAGCCGUGGCAUAUCUAGGUCUCCCUCAGAUUAGAAACAUUAACUAUUCUGGGUGUGAUUCCUGUGUGACUUGAUGGAGUAUCUAUAGUACCUGUGGGAUGGAGGAAUCUCAAGAGCAGUUAUAGUCAUAAUGAACUUAAAGAACUGCAAUAAAAAAUAUAUUUAAAAAAUGGGUCUGACAGACUUCAGAUGGUAGUAAAUAAAUGUUAGUGGGAAGGUAGAAACGCCGCUGUAUUAUCUCAGGAAACUCUCACAUCUUCUUGCUGGUUAAUUUUUCUGUUAUGAAGCACCUCUAACAAAGAGACUUUAACCUACUUUAUAUUCAUAAUGAUUCGUGCAAAUUUACCUCCUUUUGAGGCAGGGGGUCAAUGCUUAAGUUCAUUCUAUAAUAAGUAAUAUCUGCAUAGACUUUUGCUGUAUAAUAAUGAGGCAUGUUUUGCAGACAUUCAAAAUCAAAAACCACACAAACAGACUAUUUGUGGAUUCAGUUCACCAGUGGCAUAUAAAAUUCAGAACAGGAGAGCUGAUAAGGAUCAUAAACACAUUUUCAAAUUUAGCAUUUACCCUCCCAUAGCAUGGUGUCUUAUUUUUUAACGUAGGGUUUGGUACUAAAGGAAAGGGAUUAAAUAGUUUUCACUGUAUAUAGACAAAGACAAUGUAAGCAUGCACCAUGAGAGCUGUGGCUCUGGCAAAGAACCUCAACAUAAAUUUGCUACACAUCUAUUUUUCCAAAUAUAAGGCUUUUCUGGCAGGCAGCCAAUCAUGCAGGAAUUGCCAACCGUUCCGUAGAUAGGGCAAUUAUAAUUCUCCGUGCACUGCCGCUAGACCACCUGCACGUUCACGUGUGUUGUAAGUCGGAUUUGAACCCAGCUCUCAGGAGAUGAAUGCCAACCCACUGCUAUUUACUAUCAGCCUAAUUUUCAUUAUCUUUUAUUAGCAUUAAGAAACACCAUUUAUAACUGCACCUGACAAACAACUAAGCAUAGUGGAAGCUAGCAGAUGGAUCUUGUGCUAUAAAACUUGGAGUUGAGAUGUUCUGUUAAUUGGGGAAGGGAGGGGAAUUAUUCAAAGCCUGUAUUUUCAUGUAUCAUGCUUUGCUUUCAUCAAUAUCUUAUUGGAGGUGGAAGUGCAUAAUGUUUUGUGCUGAUAUAGAAUGAGAAUGUCAAAUUUUGUUUCAGAUAAUGCUGCCAAUAUUUUCAUGGGAGUAUGCCUGUUAUUUGUUAUUAAUCAAUUCAAUUAGAUUCAUUAAAAUAAGGUUUCACCUUUUUUUUUUCUUUUUAAAUGGGAAAUUAAAAUUUAAUAAAUAUCAAAUGAAUCAUCAUUUUCUCUUAAUAAUCAAAAGUCUAUCAUCAAAUAAUGAAGGGGGAAACAGCUCCACCACUUACUUAAAAGGCAGUUUGGACCAUUAGCUGUGGUGUUACUCUGUCUAAACAAAAUGUAGGAAAUUUUGAAAGAAUGUAACAGUUCUUUAUUCGAGCAUACUUCAGUAAAUGGAAACUUGUAGGAAAUAUUUUAAUUGUGUAUAGUUUUAACUGGGUGAUAUGCAAAUAGCCACAUGCUGAAGUAAUAAAAAUAAAUUAGUUACUUUGCAA